rnacentral:rRNA from 1 species
AAGUUACCAAGGGCAACAGGUGGAUGCCUUGGCGCUGGA